AUUGAACGCUGGCGGCAGGCCUAACACAUGCAAGUCGAGCGGUAGAGAGAAGCUUGCUUCUCUUGAGAGCGGCGGACGGGUGAGUAAUGCCUAGGAAUCUGCCUGGUAGUGGGGGAUAACGUUCGGAAACGGACGCUAAUACCGCAUACGUCCUACGGGAGAAAGCAGGGGACCUUCGGGCCUUGCGCUGUCAGAUGAGCCUAGGUCGGGUUAGCUAGUUGGUGGGGUAAUGGCUCACCAAGGCGACGAUCCGUAACUGGUCUGAGAGGAUGAUCAGUCACACUGGAACUGAGACACGGUCCAGACUCCUACGGGAGGCAGCAGUGGGGAAUAUUGGACAAUGGGCGAAAGCCUGAUCCAGCCAUGCCGCGUGUGUGAAGAAGGUCUUCGGAUUGUAAAGCACUUUAAGUUGGGAGGAAGGGCAGUAAAUUAAUACUUUGCUGUUUUGACGUUACCGACAGAAUAAGCACCGGCUAACUCUGUGCCAGCCGCCGCGGUAA
rnacentral:rRNA from 1 species